AGUGAACGCUGGCGGUAGGCCUAACACAUGCAAGUCGAACGGCAGCACAGUAAGAGCUUGCUCUUAUGGGUGGCGAGUGGCGGACGGGUGAGGAAUACAUUGGAAUCUACUUUUUCGUGGGGGAUAGCGUAGGGAAACUUAAGCUAAUAUCGCAUACGACCUACGGGUGAAAGCAGGGAAUCUUCGGACCUUGCGCGAUUGCAUGAGCCGAUGUCGGAUUAGCUAGUUGGGGGGGUAAAGGCCCGCCAAGGCGACGAUCCGUAGCUGGUCUGUGAGGAUGAUCAGCCACACUGGAACGUGGACACGGUCCAUACUCCUACGGGAGGCAGCAGUGGGGAAUAUUGGACAAUGGGCGCAAGCCUGAUCCAGCCAUACCGCGUGGGUGAAGAAGGCCUUCGGGUUGUAAAGCCCUUUUGUUGGUAAAGAAAAGCAGCAGCUUAAUACCCCGCUGUUCUGACGGUACCCAAAGAAUAAGCACCGGCUAACUUCGUG
rnacentral:rRNA from 1 species